rnacentral:rRNA from 1 species
GUGGGGAAUCUUGCUCAAUGGGCGAAAGCCUGAAGCAGCAACGCCGCGUGCGGGAUGAAGGCCCUCGGGUCGUAAACCGCUUUCAGAAGGAACGAAAAUGACGGUACCUUCAGAAGAAGGCCCGGCUAACUACGUGCCAGCAGCCGCGGUAACACGUAGGGGCCGAGCGUUGUCCGGAUUCAUUGGGCGUAAAGAGCUCGUAGGCGGUUUCGUAAGUCGGGUGUGAAAUCUCCAGGCUCAACUUGGAGGGGCCACCCGAUACUGCGCGACUCGAGUCCGGUAGGGGAGUGGGGAAUUCCUGGUGUAGCGGUGAAAUGCGCAGAUAUCAGGAGGAACACCGGUGGCGAAGGCGCCACUCUGGGCCGGUACUGACGCUGAGGAGCGAAAGCGUGGGGAGCAAACAGGAUUAGAUACCCUAGUAGUCC